rnacentral:lncRNA from 1 species
AAAGUGAGAUACAAAUCGAGGAUCUCGGUCUGAUACUGUAAUGUAUCAGAUUUUAAUAUAAAAAUAAGUGUAAAUAAAAAUAGUGUAAGAUACUAUUUUUAUUGGACUUAAAGAAGUGAAAUAUAAGUCUGGAAUGACUUAUGUUGAAAUCGGAACGAAAACAAAAGAUUUAGAAUUUUCUGUAAGGAAUGGGACUGAUAUUUUAGCAAAAAAUUUACAGCGUCAGAAAAUUAUGAAAAUCUGGAAAUACGUCGGGAUUAUUUUUAUGAGACUAUAUUUAAAGUUUAAUGUCAUUCCGACACUUGGAAAGUGAAAAAUAAAAUCCGACUGCUAUCUGUUAGAGAUUUUUAGUCGGUAGGACUUUCGGUGACCAAAAGUGGUCGAAACUGAAAGAUUAAGAUAUCUUUUUUUUGUUUAGCUGAAACAGAGCCUGGCUGUCAAAUUUGAGAGAAAACGGACAUUUAGAAGGGCUCCGGCGAAAAGGAACAGAUUCUGAACUGCUAAAUUGCUAAUUGUACUAGUGUUAAUGUUGGAGGUUGACUAUAAAAAGG